AGUAGCGGUGAAAUGCGUAGAUAUCUGGAGGAAUACCAAAGGCGAAGGCAGUCCCCUGGUCCGAUACUGACACUGAGGUACGAAAGCGUGGGGAGCAAACAGGAUUAGAUACCCUGGUAGUCCACGCCCUAAACGAUGUCGAUUAGCCAUUGGAAGGACCCCUUUUCCUUUCAGUGACGUAGCUAACGCGUUAAAUCGACCGCCUGGGAAGUACGACCGCAAGGUUAAAACUCAAAGGAAUUGACGGGGACCUGAACAAGCGGUGAAUGAUGUGGAUUAAUUUGAUGCUACGCGAAGAACCUUACCUACCUUUGACAUGGCCAAAGUUCUACCGAGAGGCGGAAAGUACUCGUAAGAGGAUUGGCGCACAGGUGCUGCAUGGUUGUCGUCAGUUCGUGUCGUGAGAUGUUGGGUUCAGUCCCGCACCGCACCGCAACCCUUAUCUUUAAUUGCUCUUAUUUUAACAGGCACUUUAAAGAAACUGCCAAUGAUAAGUUGGAGGGAGGUGGGGAUCACGUCAAGUCCGCAUGGCCUUUAUAGGUAGGGCUUCACACGUCAUACAAUGGUUAGAACAAAGAGCUGCAAAUUCGUAAGAAGGAGCCAAUCUCACAAACCUAACCUCAGUUCGAAUUGCGGUCUGCAACUCGAGCGCAUGAAGCCGGAAUCGCUAGUAAUCGUGGAUCAGAAUGCCA
rnacentral:rRNA from 1 species